rnacentral:tRNA from 1 species
GUUACUUUGGCAGAUUAAGUGUAUUAAAUUUAGAAUUUAAUUAUAAAAUUUUUUUAUUUUAAGUAAUA